GCCGGAUGUAAUAAUAAAGCAAGAGUACAAACAGUUGUCAUGGUUUUCUUUUCACAGUAAACUAGUGUUGAAUUUAGGGAGAUUCUAUUUCUCAAAGUGGUGAACCUCUUUGCAAAAUGAAAGUAAUUUUGAAAAUUGAGGUACAAAAAUCGUGACAAGGAAAUUUGUUGAAGUGUUUGGAAGUGUAAAAUGAGAGACUGGGAGGAAGUAGGUCUCUGAAGUUCAGAGGACAAAAUCGAACAAGAAGCACACGCCUUCUGCAAUGAUUUCUCCAGAUCAGCAAAUCUACUCAAGUGACACAGUGAGCCACCGCAAUUUGUACUAAAAUGAAGUUAGUAAGCAGCUAAAAUAGAAUUUCCAUGGACUAGAA
rnacentral:lncRNA from 12 species